AGAGAGGCUCCGUGAGUUUAGGGAGGCAGCUAUAAGAGCUGUUGCAAUUGAAGGAUCGUACCACAGAGAGUGUUCUGCUGCUCUGACCUGGAGAGACCCCUGGAACUAUUUCACAGAAAGGAAGAUGAGGAUGAAGCAGGUUUUGGCUCUGCUCUGCCUGAUCUCAAUGUGUGGGGCUCAGAAAUGGAAACAGGAAACCUCACGUUGGGACCCCAAAGAAAACACCGAUGGCAAGACUUGUUCCAACAUGACUCAAGUACUGGACAACUGGAAAUUUGCUAUUUUAACCCAAGUGAAAGACCUGCUGAUCAAUGACCACGCCUCUGUUCUCCCUGAAUAUAACAGGAUCCAGCCUCUCUCAGAUGCUCUGGGAGACCUCUACAGGCAGUUCAACAGUCUAAAAGAUGAGCUGGGGCGUCUCACCACAAAAUUUGACAGAGUGGAAGCUUUCGUUGAUGAACUUAAGGAGGGCAGAUUCAGCCUGCGCCAGCGGCCCGUACAGAGGAUUCCCCCCAGCUUUGGUCUGAGGUCUCCACUGCGAGCUCAGAUGAGGGCUCCUGACAGGGGGCUAACAGUGAUCAGAACGAGGAGGAGAGGCCCACAGAAACCUUAAACCACUAUCCCCUCUGCCUUAUAAAUGCUGACGUAUUAAACAAGAGUUAAUAUGUUUAUAUAUUUUUCAAAAUAAGAUGACUAUUUUAUGUUAUUUUAUUGAUGCGUGUGAUGUGAGAAUAGAUCACAUAAAUGAGACAGAUUUCAUGGUGCAUGGUGUAGAAACGACCUAAAAAAAUCUGUUCAUCUUCACCUUCUCUGUGUAAGGUCACAUUCAACCACAAUGUGGCAGCAUUUAUCACAUUAUCUUGACAAUCAUCCUGCUGCUUUCUGUGUAUCAAUAGCUGGACAUUAAGGAACAUAAUGCUGGAAAAGUAGUUUAUUAGAGUUAUAUAAUGCAGUAUGUAGGUUAUGUAUGGCCUUGGUUUGUAUUUCAUUUGUUUACUCAAUAAAUUAUUUAAAAUUAAUUCAUGUUGAACUUAUAUCAAUCAUGAUUUAGUAAACUUUUACAGUGUUCUAUGACUUCAGAUGCACAGGAGUGGUGACAAAGCUGCCACAAAAUACACCGUGUCUCUGAAGAACCAGGACAUCUGGACAUCUGGACAAAUGACGCAGGGUAUCAAAACUCCAGCCCUGUAAUUUAUGAUAGCAGGAAACCCUAAGUGGAAUACAACAAGUUCUAAACCCAAUUUUUGAUGUUCUUUGACAGUGCAUGCCAUGUCCAAAAAUGCAUGUCAAAAAAUAGCUUAUUAAAAUAUAGCUGCAUUUUA